rnacentral:rRNA from 1 species
CUGGCUCAGGAUGAACGCUAGCGACAGGCUUAACACAUGCAAGUCGAGGGGCAGCAUAAAAGUAGCAAUACUUGGUGGCGACCGGCGCACGGGUGAGUAACGCGUAUGCAACCUACCUAUCAGAGGGGAAUAACCGGCGAAAGUCGGACUAAUACCGCAUAAAACAGGGGCACCGCAUGGUGAUAUUUGUUAAAGAAAUUCGCUGAUAGAUGGGCAUGCGUUCCAUUAGGUAGUUGGUGAGGUAACGGCUCACCAAGCCGACGAUGGAUAGGGAACUGAGAGGUUGGUCCCCCACACUGGUACUGAGACACGGACCAGACUCCUACGGGAGGCAGCAGUGAGGAAUAUUGGUCAAUGGGCGGGAGCCUGAACCAGCCAAGUCGCCGUGAAGGAAGAAGGAUCUAUGGUUCGUAAACUUCUUUUGCAGGGGAAUAAAGUGCAGGACGUGUCCUGUUUUGUAUGUACCCUGAGAAUAAGGAUCGGCUAACUCCGUGCCAGCCGCCGC